rnacentral:rRNA from 1 species
ACGGAGGGGGCGAGCGUUAUUCGGAAUUAUUGGGCGUAAAGGGCGCGUAGGCGGCUUGACAAGUCAAAGGUGAAAUCCCUCGGCUCAACUGAGGAAUUGCCUUCGAUACUGCAUGGCUUGAGACCGGAAGAGGUAAGUGGAACUGCGAGUGUAGAGGUGAAAUUCGUAGAUAUUCGCAAGAACACCAGUGGCGAAGGCGGCUUACUGGUCCGGUUCUGACGCUGAGGCGCGAAAGCGUGGGGAGCAAACAGGA